rnacentral:rRNA from 1 species
GAUUGUAAACCUCUGUCUUCGGGGACGAAACAAAUGACUGGUACUCGAGGAGGAAGCCACGACUAACUACGUGCCAGCAGCCGCGGUAAUACGUAGGUGGCAAGUGUUGUCCGGAAUUACUGGGAGUAAAGGGAGCGCAGGCGGAGCUGCAAGUUGGGAGUUAAAUCUACGGGCUUAACUCGUAGUUGCAUUCAAAACUGUGGCUCUUGAGUAGUGCAGAGGUAGGCGGAAUUCCCGGUGUAGCGGUGGAAUGCGUAGAUAUCGGGAGGAACACCAGUGGCGAAGGCGGCCUACUGGGCACCAACUGACGCUGAGGCUCGAAAGUAUGGGUAGCAAACAGGAUUAGAUACCCUGGUAGUCCAUACCGUAAACGAUGAUUACUAGGUGUGGGGAGAUUGACCCUCUCCGUGCCGCAGUUAACACAAUAAGUAAUCCAUCUGGGGAGUACGACCGCAAGGUUGAAACUCAAAGGAAUUGACGGGGGCCCGCACAAGCAGUGGAGUAUGUGGUUUAAUUCGAAGCAACGCGAAGAACCUUACCAGGUCUUGACAUCCAAUGACGCAUGCAGAGAUGCAUGUUUCCUUCGGGACAUUGAGACAGGUGGUGCAUGGUUGUCGUCAGCUCGUGUCGUGAGAUGUUGGGUUAAGUCCCGCAACGAGCGCAACCCUUAUUGUCAGUUACUACGCAAGAGGACUCUGACGAGACUGCCGUUGACAGAACGGAGGAAGGUGGGGAUGACGUCAAAUCAUCAUGCCCUUUAUGACCUGGGCCACACACGUACUACAAUGGCUAUUAACAGAGAGAAGCGAGACCGCAAGGUGGAGCAAACCUCAUAAAAAUAGUCUCAGUUCGGAUUGGGGGCUGCAACCCGCCCCCAUGAAGCCGGAAUUGCUAGUAAUCGCGGAUCAGCAUGCCGCGGUGAAUACGUUCCCGGGCCUUGCAAACACCGCCCGUCAA